GAGUUUGAUCCUGGCUCAGAUUGAACGCUGGCGGCAGGCCUAACACAUGCAAGUCGAGCGGUAGAGAGGUGCUUGCACCUCUUGAGAGCGGCGGACGGGUGAGUAAAGCCUAGGAAUCUGCCUGGUAGUGGGGGAUAACGCUCGGAAACGGACGCUAAUACCGCAUACGUCCUACGGGAGAAAGCAGGGGACCUUCGGGCCUUGCGCUAUCAGAUGAGCCUAGGUCGGAUUAGCUAGUUGGUGAGGUAAUGGCUCACUAAGGCGACGAUCCGUAACUGGUCUGAGAGGAUGAUCAGUCACACUGGAACUGAGACACGGUCCAGACUCCUACGGGAGGCAGCAGUGGGGAAUAUUGGACAAUGGGCGGAAGCCUGAUCCGGCCAUGCCGCGUGUGUGAAGAAGGUCUUCGGAUUGUAAAGCACUUUAAGUUGGGAGGAAGGGCAUUAACCUAAUACGUUGGUGUCUUGACGUUACCGACAGAAUAAGCACCGGCUAACUCUGUGCCAGCAGCCGCGGUAAUACAGAGGGUGCAAGCGUUAAUCGGAAUUACUGGGCGUAAAGCGCGCGUAGGUGGUUCGUUAAGUUGGAUGUGAAAUCCCCGGGCUCAACCUGGGAACUGCAUUCAAAACUGUCGAGCUAGAGUAUGGUAGAGGGUGGUGGAAUUUCCUGUGUAGCGGUGAAAUGCGUAGAUAUAGGAAGGAACACCAGUGGCGAAGGCGACCACCUGGACUGAUACUGACACUGAGGUGCGAAAGCGU
rnacentral:rRNA from 1 species